rnacentral:snRNA from 1 species
AUCCCGGUGCAAGGGCAAGAUCGAUAGCAGUGAAGAUUCGUCUGAGCUUCGAUUUUUGCUAGUUGAAAACUACAACUAUAUUGACUGCUCCUAGUCUGCUUCGGUGGGCUAGGGAAUUUUUGUCCUCAAUAGCGG